rnacentral:rRNA from 1 species
UAUACUAUUAAAGCAAACGUAUUUAAUUUUAAAAUUAUAUUAUACAAAUACUAUGGAAUUUAAAAAAUUUUAUUAAGUAAAAUUAAAAUGUUAUGACAAUCCUAAAAAUAUUUUUUAUUAAUGUUUAACAAAAACUAGGAUUAGAUACCCUACUAUUAAAUUUAAUGUAAAUUAGGUAGUAUAGGAAUUCUAGAAACCUAAAGAAUUUGGCGGUAUUUUAAAUAAUUGGAGGAACCUGUUAUUUAAUUGACACUCCACAACAAAUCUAACCUAAUUUAAGUUUGUAUAUCAUUGUUUAGAUAAUAUUUAAAAAUAAUUAUCAAAUUUAAUAAAAUUUUAAAAAUCAAAUCAAGGUGCAGCAUAUUUAGGGUAUAAUGGGUUACAAUUUAAGAAUAAAUAACGGAUGAAAAUGAAAAUAGUUAUGAAGGUGGAUUCAAAAGUAAAUUUAAAAUAA